AGCUCCAAUAGCGUAUAUUAAAGUUGUUGCAGUUAAAAAGCUCGUAGUCGGAUUUCAGGGCGGGGCAACCGGUCUGCCGAUGGGUAUGCACUGGUUGGCGCGUCCUUCCUUCUGGAGACCGUGCCUACUCUUAACUGAGCGGGGACGGGAAACAGAUCGUUUACUUUGAAAAAAUCAGAGUGUUUAAAGCAGGCCAAGAUUGCUCUUGCAUGGAUUAGCAUGGGAUAAUGAAAUAGGACUUUGGUGCUAUUUUGUUGGUUUCGAACACCGAAGUAAUGAUUAAUAGGGAUAGUCAGGGGCACUCGUAUUCCGUCGAGAGAGGUGAAAUUCUCAGACCAAUGGAAGACGAACUACUGCGAAAGCAUUUGCCAGGGAUGUUUUCACUG
rnacentral:rRNA from 1 species